AUCUUUCCGCUUGGGGCAAUGACGCAGCUAGUGAGGUUCUAACCGAGGCGCGUCUAUUGCUGGUUGAAAACUUUUUUCAAAAAAA